rnacentral:rRNA from 1 species
UCGAUCGACACCCACCCGCGAUGCAGCAAGGAAAAUCGCGUCAGAGAGGACAAACACGCCUCAACCCCCCGUCGAGCCGCUCCUCACUCAUAGGACCCCUGCCACAACACGCCUUCCACAGCCGACGGGUGCCGCAAUCCUCCUAAUGUCACAAGCACUACCACUUGGCACCGCCUCACCAACCCCAAACCCCCAACUCCCCCUGCCCCUCCCCCCCACGACCUCGCGUGCGCCUACACCCUCCAUGACUCCCCCCCGCGUUUUUUUAGGAGAGAAAAAACGCGAGUUUCCGUAGGUGAACCUGCGGAAGGAUCAUUG